GACGAACGCUGGCGGCGUGCCUAACACAUGCAAGUCUGGGAGAAUUGGGUAGCAAUAUCCUUAGUAAACCGGCGCACGGGUGAGUAAUAUAUAGGUAACCUGCCUUAUGGUUUGGAAUAACCCCGCGAAAGCGGGGCUAAUACCGAAUGAUGCAGCGGAUCCGCAUGGAUAUGUUGUUAAAGCUUCGGCGCCAUAAGAUGGGCCUGUAUCCCAUUAGAUAGUUGGUAAGGUAACGGCUUACCAAGUCUGCGAUGGGUAGCUGAUCUGAGAGGAUGAUCAGCCACACUGGAACUGAGACACGGUCCAGACUCCUACGGGAGGCAGCAGUGAGGAAUAUUGCGCAAUGGAGGAAACUCUGACGCAGCGACGCCGCGUGAAGGAUGAAGGCCCUCUGGGUUGUAAACUUCUGUAGAGAGGGAAGAAUGUCACGUUUCACGGGAUUGACGGUACCUCUAAAGUAAGCAUCGGCUAACUACGUGCCAGCAGCCGCGGUAAUAC
rnacentral:rRNA from 1 species